GUUGAUAUGACCCCUUUUUUCGUCCUCUACAAAAAUGGCACCAUCAAUCGACUCCGUCCAGCAGACAAUGCUCCGCUUUCGAACGAUCCACAAGCUCCUGUCCGAUCCAAAGAUGUCGUAGUUCACCCGGAAACAGGGGUUUCCGUACGUAUGUUUCUUCCCAAAAUUACCGACCCCAAACAGAAAAUCCCCGUCGUAAUUUACAUUCACGGUGGGGCUUUCUGUAUGGGAUCAGCUCGUUCCUCCACAUUCCAUAAUUUCAUCAGCUCUGUAGUCGAAAAGGCCAAUUGCAUCGCUGUUUCAGUCGAAUAUAGACUUGCCCCGGAAAACCCUUUUGAUACUACCUACGAUGAUU
rnacentral:misc_RNA from 1 species